rnacentral:rRNA from 1 species
CGGCCCAGUAAGUCCUCCGUUAAAUCCAACGGCUCAACCGUUGGGCUGCGGGGGAUACUGCUGGGCUAGGGGACGGGAGAGGCGAGGGGUAUUCCCGGGGUAGGGGUAAAAUCCACUGAUCCCGGGAGGACCACCAGUGGCGAAGGCGCCUCGCUAGAACGUGCCCGACGGUGAGGGAUGAAAGCUGGGGGAGCGAACCGGAUUAGAUACCCGGGUAGUCCCAGCCGUAAACGAUGUAGGCUCGGUGUUGGGCUGCCUCAGUGGCAGCCCAGUGCCGCAGGGAAGCCGUUAAGCCUACCGCCUGGGGA